GCUGGGUGCAGUAGCUUACGCCUGUAAUCCCAACACUUUGGGAGGCUGAGGUGGGUGGAUCACCUGAGGUCAGGAGUUCGUGACCAGCCUGACCAACAUGGUGAACCCCCAUCUCUA
rnacentral:SRP_RNA from 2 species